rnacentral:tRNA from 1 species
GGUGUAGCUCAAUGGUAGAGUUCUGGCCUUCCAAGCCAGCUGUGAGGGUUCGAUCCCCUUCACCCGCUCCA